GUGCGUUACAAUGUGGACAUGGCUUACUGUUCUGUCCAAUCCAUGUUUCAGCUUGAAUAUCAUUCACCAUGGAUUUUAAUUGUUUCUUCCCGUAACGCUUUUCCAUACUCUCUCUAGUUGAGUCAUCUCCAUUGAUAACCAACCUGAAGUCAUUUUACAUGGAGCAACACCAUGAUAAGUUGCCUUACACAUCAGACAAAAAUGGAAAUUGCAAUAUGGACAAGAAACAAGAUUGCUCUCUGGCUCAUAAGAAACUGGAUAUUGGCCUAUAUUAAGCAAUUUGAGCAUUCUGUUAUAUUUCUUAAAAACAUGUCUCUUAAUAAAAAAAUUAUAAUUUA